UGGGUGCACCUGGGAGGGUUUUCUCCUCUU
rnacentral:piRNA from 1 species